rnacentral:rRNA from 1 species
UGAGUGCGAGCUGCUACGGCAGCGAAGUUGGUGACGUCAAGCUUCCAAGAAAAGCCCUAUACCCGUUAAGGCAUCAUGGCCUGUACCCGAAACCGACACAGGUGGGGUGGUAGAGAAUACCGAGGGGCGCGAGGUAACUCUCUCUAAGGAACUCGGCAAAAUGGCCCCGUAACUUCGGGAGAAGGGGUGCCACCGCAAGGUGGUCGCAGUGAAGAGGCCCAGGCGACUGUUUACCAAAAACACAGGUCUCCGCUAAGUCGCAAGACGAUGUAUGGGGGCUGACGCCUGCCCAGUGCCGGAAGGUUAAGGAAGCUGGUCAGCGCAAGCGAAGCUGGCGACUGAAGCCCCGGUGAACGGCGGCCGUAACAAUAACGGUCCUAAGGUAGCGAAAUUCCUUGUCGGGUAAGUUCCGACCCGCACGAAAGGCGUAACGAUCUGGGCGCUGUCUCGGAGAGAGGCUCGGCGAAAUAGAAUUGUCUGUGAAGAUGCGGACUACGUGCACCCGGACAGAAAGACCCUAUGAAGCUUUACUGUAGCUUGGUAUUGUGCCCGGGCUCUGAAUGCGCAGGAUAGGUGGGAGGCUUUGAUCAUCGGCUUGCGGGUCGAUGUGAGCCAACGGUGAGAUACCACUCUUUCAGAGCUAGGGUUCUAACAGUCACCCGUUAUCCGGGGACUGGACAGUAUCAGGUGGGCAGUUUGACUGGGGCGGUCGCCUCCUAAAAGGUAACGGAGGCGCGCAAAGGUCUGCUCAGGCUGGUUGGAAAUCAGCCGACGAGUGUAAAAGCAGAAGCAGGCUUGACUGUGAGACCUACAAGUCGAACAGGGAGGAAACUCGGCUUUAGUGAUCCGACGGUUCUGCGUGGAAGGGCCGUCGCUCAACGGAUAAAAGUUACUCUAAGGAUAACAGGCUGAUCUCCCCCAAGAGUUCACAUCGACGGGGAGGUUUGGCACCUCGAUGUCGGCUCAUCGCAACCUGGGGCUGAAGUCGGUCCCAAGGGUUGGGCUGUUCGCCCAUUAAAGCGGUACGCGAGCUGGGUUCAGAACGUCGUGAGACAGUUCGGUCCAUAUCCGGUGCAUGCGCAGGAAUAUUGAGAGGAGUUCUCCCUAGUACGAGAGGACCGGGAGGAACGCACCUCUGGUGUACCAGUUAUCGUGCCAACGGUAAACGCUGGGUAGCCAUGUGCGGAGAGGAUAACCGCUGAAAGCAUCUAAGUGGGAAGCCCACCUCAAGAUGAGUAUUCCCAUGGCGUUAGCCAGUAAGGUCACGGGAAGAACACCCGUUGAUAGGCUCUAUGUGGAAGCGCAGUAAUGCGUGAAGCAGAGGAGUACUAAUAGACCGAGGGC